rnacentral:sRNA from 2 species
UCUAUGCACAGUACAUCGUACCAUGUAGCAGGCGGAUCCUGUCCACGGUCCCCAGAAAGUCGGUGAUGCGAUGCUGAUGAUAUUGAUUUGGAUUUGAGGCUUUGGGAGAUUUUUUUCUUCCCGACAACCCAUUCCAAAACGUAUCGGCUUGUUUUGGCACCUGUCAUUACUGUCACUAUUCCUUACUGUUCUUCUCCUUCUUCUUCUGAACCUUUGCUUGUCUCUUAGGGACCUUCCUUGAAUUGAAUUCAGAUCUUUUGAUGCCCUGAGAUUAGAGAGAAAUCUAUAUAUCUUUCCAUAGAUACGGACUAGAAGGGAUCGCCAUCCCGUCGCAUGUGCAUAUGCAUCAGUGUUUAGGUGACCUUGAUCAGUCCAGGGAGGAGUUGGAAGCCGAAGCUGAAUCAUAGGUGGGGAUGGAGGUCAGGUGUGGACCAAAAGACCCUGCACACACUAGAUAUAUAAAUAUAUCGCGAAAUAUCAAUACCAGGCCCAAAAAGCCAUUCUGGCCCUUGCUGUGCCUGAGUAUGGACAAGGGGCUGCCAACUAGGAUCUAACAGAUUUAUACCAUGUAUAGUUAUCUCCAGCAUUCACAAGGCAGUUUGUUCCACACGUCUGGAACUAUAUAUAUCUUGCGGUAUUGCAGGGGUGUUGUCACACACACACAUAAAUAUAUAUAAACUGGGACCAGAUCGGCGGUUUCACCAAUUUUAUUCAUUGAGAAUCUGCAGGUCUGUUCCACUCGCUGAAAAAGAGGCGAGCAAAAAAAAGAAAAAAGA